CGGGACCAGCACUCCACACAUUACAUCAAACUCUUACAAGUCUAGAAAAGGAGCUUUUGGACAGAAAGACAUCAACUCAGUAACCUGAGAUAUGACUGCACUAUGCUGUUGCUGGUGACCACAGUUAAUUCUACAAGACAUGCUGUGACACCAGGAGAGAUGAAUCCUCCGUCACAGAUGGUGUGGUCAGUGAAGAUGGUUGCCUGCAGGUUCAAGCUCAUUGCAUCUCCAACCCACAUCUACUGCCACUAUACAUAAGGGAAGUUAAAGACUUGCAUCACCUCCAUCCAUGAUAGUCAUUCAGGCAGUAAUGCCUGGA
ensembl:lncRNA